GUGUUCACUUCAUCAGCACAUACACUAAAAUUGGAAUGAUGAAGAGAAGAUUAGCAUGGGCCCUGCAUGAUGAUGACAUGCAAAUUUGUGAAGCAUUCCAUGCUUUU